GGACUACAGGGGUUUCUAAUCCUGUUUGCUCCCCACGCUUUCGUGCAUGAGCGUCAGUACAGGUCCAGGGGAUUGCCUUCGCCAUCGGUGUUCCUCCGCAUAUCUACGCAUUUCACUGCUACACGCGGAAUUCCAUCCCCCUCUACCGUACUCUAGCUCUACAGUCACAAAUGCCAUUCCCAGGUUGAGCCCGGGGAUUUCACAUCUGUCUUAUAGAACCGCCUGCGCACGCUUUACGCCCAGUAAUUCCGAUUAACGCUCGCACCCUACGUAUUACCGCGGCGGCUGGCAC
rnacentral:rRNA from 1 species